GUGACAGUAUGAUGGAGGUAGACAGAGUACUGACAGUAUGAUGGAGGUAGACAGAGUACUGCAGUAUGAUGGAGGUAGACAGAGUACUGACAGUAUGAUGGAGGGAGACAGAGUACUGACAGUAUGAUGGGAGGUAGACAGAGUACUGACAGUAUGAUGGAGGUAGACAGAGUACUGACAGUAUGAUGGAGGGAGACAGAGUACUGACAGUAUGAUGGGAGGUAGACAGAGUACUGCAGUAUGAUGGAGGUAGACAGAGUACUGACAGUAUGAUGGAGGUAGACAGAGUACUGCAGUAUGAUGGAGGUAGACAGAGUACUGACAGUAUGAUGGAGGUAGACAGAGUACUGCAGUAUGAUGGAGGUAGACAGAGUACUGACAGUAUGAUGGAGGUAGACAGAGUACUGCAGUAUGAUGGAGGUAGACAGAGUACUGACAGUAUGAUGGAGGUAGACAGAGUACUGCAGUAUGAUGGAGGUAGACAGAGUACUGACAGUAUGAUGGAGGUAGACAGAGUACUGCAGUAUGAUGGAGGUAGACAGAGUACUGACAGUAUGAUGGAGGUAGACAGAGUACUGCAGUAUGAUGGAGGUAGACAGAGUACUGACAGUAUGAUGGGAGGUAGACAGAGUACUGACAGUUUGAUGGAGGUAGACAGAGUACUGCAGUAUGAUGGAGGUAGACAGAGUACUGACAGUAUGAUGGAGGUAGACAGAGUACUGCAGUAUGAUGGAGGUAGACAGAGUACUGACAGUAUGAUGGAGGUAGACAGAGUACUGCAGUAUGAUGGAGGUAGACAGAGUACUGACAGUAUGAUGGAGGUAGACAGAGUACUGCAGUAUGAUGGAGGUAGACAGAGUACUGACAGUUUGAUGGUAGGUAUACAGAGUACUGACAGUUUGAUGGUAGGUAUACAGAGUACUGACAGUUUGAUGGUAGGUAUACAGAGUACUGACAGUUUGAUGGUAGGUAUACAGAGUACUGACAGUUUGAUGGUAGGUAUACAGAGUACUGACAGUUUGAUGGUAGGUAUACAGAGUACUGACAGUUUGAUGGUAGGUAGACUACACCAGGAGCUGUCACUGACGUUAAGUGUACAAUUUCAGGGGUUAAAAGUCAUUGGUGUGUUUUCCUACAGGGCAGGAGGCAGUAGAGUAUCCAGAGGUUAGAGCCAGGGGUUAAAGGUCAUCUGUGUGUUUUCGUACGGGUCAGCAGGCAGUAGAGUAUCCAGAGGUUAGAGCCAGGGGUUAAA